rnacentral:rRNA from 1 species
AUGUACCAGAAGACGCGGUGUGGCGGCAGCGUCGAGAACAACAUGAAGGUCGCGCCCACGGAGGCAGCACGCUCGCCAGGCAACAGCGGCAGUGCAUGCGCCAAGAAGGAUCCGCGGAGGCCCGAUACAUACAUCUAUAUCUCUUUUGUGUAUGCAGGGAGCAAGCACACAUCUCACACAGCCGCCUGCAACACCCAGCAAGACUCAUGGACGGAGAACCUCACGCAAGAACACAACUUGCGAGGGAGACAGAAGGCAUGCAACGCACCAAGAAGAGCACCUCGCUUAGGCGAGAAGUGA